rnacentral:rRNA from 1 species
UGGGGAAUAUUGCACAAUGGGCGAAAGCCUGAUGCAGCGACGCCGCGUGAGGGAUGACGGCCUUCGGGUUGUAAACCUCUUUCAGCAGGGACGAAGCGCAAGUGACGGUACCUGCAGAAGAAGCACCGGCUAACUACGUGCCAGCAGCCGCGGUAAUACGGAGGGUGCAAGCGUUGUCCGGAAUUACUGGGCGUAAAGAGUUCGUAGGCGGUUUGUCGCGUCGUUUGUGAAAACCAGCAGCUCAACUGCUGGCUUGCAGGCGAUACGGGCAGACUUGAGUAGUGCAGGGGAGACUGGAAUUCCUGGUGUAGCGGUGAAAUGCGGAGAUAUCAGGAGGAACACCGGUGGCGAAGGCGGGUCUCUGGGCAGUAACUGACGCUGAGGAACGAAAGCGUGGGUAGCGAACAGG